rnacentral:rRNA from 1 species
UACGUAGGGGGCGAGCGUUGUCCGGAUUUAUUGGGCGUAAAGAGCGUGUAGGCGGCCUGACAAGUCUGCUGUGAAAACUCGAGGCUCAACCUCGAGAUGUCGGCGGAAACUGUCUGGCUAGAGUCCGGAAGAGGUGAGUGGAACUCCUAGUGUAGAGGUGGAAUUCGUAGAUAUUAGGAAGAACACCAGUGGCGAAGGCGGCUCACUGGUCCGGUACUGACGCUGAGGUGCGAAAGCGUGGGAGCAAACAGG